UUUCCGUAGGUGAACCUGCGGAAGGAUCAUUAUCGAAACCUGCCCGGCAGAACGCCGCGCGAACUUGUAUAAACAACCGGGUGCGGGGGGCGUUCUCGCCCCGUCCCCCCGAACGGCGGGGAGAGACCCGUGCCUUCUUGCCGAACAACGAACCCCGGCGCGGUGUGCGCCAAGGAACUUCAACUAAAGAAUGCCUCCGGUCGCCUCGGACACGGCGAGAGUGCCGGGGGCGAAUCUUGUGCAAAACCAUAACGACUCUCGGCAACGGAUAUCUCGGCUCUG
rnacentral:misc_RNA from 1 species